CACCCGAUGGCACAAGGUGUGCGUCUACCAAAGCUUGCAAAGGUACCAGAGGUUUAGGUAGAAGGGCCCCCGUUCGAUUCGGGGUCGGGUGA